rnacentral:rRNA from 1 species
GUAUAACCAAUCUUUAAUGUGAAAUGUAAUGUAAAAGCCUUUGUUAGUCAGUGAUUGCUAUUUAGUUUCUACUUCUUAUUGAUUAAGGGAACUAGAUGGACUUGGUUUAACGACCUAGCAUUGAUUAUCAAAUGUAAUUAUUAAUCAAUUUAUUAACCCAUUGAACCGAUUAACUUAUUAUUAGUUAUUCAUUUCUUUUAUUGUGAACUGAAUUGUUCUUUACUCUUCGGGUAAUACCAAAGAGAUGGAAUUAUAUUUACGAAACAUAAAUUAUGAACAACUCUUAGCAACGGAUAUCUUGGUUCUCGUAACGAUGAAGAACGCAGCGAAAUGCGAUACGUAAUGCGAAUUGCAGAAUUCAGUGAAUCAUCAAAUCUUUGAACGCAAAUUGCGCUUCUUGGAUAGGCCAGGAAGCAUGCCUCUUUGAGUAUCGUUUUCACCCCAGCUCGACUGCUUAUUUGUAAUGAAUAAGUUCGUCGGAGAAUGAGUUUGUCUUGUCUGAAAGGAUAAGUCACUUUAAAUGCUGUGAGUUUGAUUAACGUUUACAUCAGUUUAGUGUCUUGCAGUAUUUAUUUAUUGUGAGGCUGGAUUAGUGUUCUGAUCGCUGUUGUAAUGUGGAUAAUCUCUAUUUACAUUAUUAUGCAGUGCUUUGGAGCAUUGAUUCGGUAAUCAUUAAAUUGGUUGUUAAUCACUAUGAACUCAGUGGAAAUUAUCUAAUACUUUAGUGUAUAACUUUGAAUUAGAUCUCAAAUGAAGCAAGACUACCCGCUGAACUUAAGCAUAUUAUUAAGCGGAGGAAAAGAAACUAACAAGGAUGCCCUCAGUAACGGCGAGUGAAGCGGGCAAAGCUCAACCUGAAAAUCGAAUAUCC